rnacentral:rRNA from 1 species
ACUCAAAUGAAUAGACGGGGGCCCGCACAAGCGGUGGAGCAUGUGGAUUAAUUCGAUGCAACGCGAAGAACCUUACCUGGGCUUGACAUGGAAAUGACCCAUUCAGAGAUGAAUGUUCCCUUCGGGGCAUUUCACACAGAUGGUGCAUGGUUGUCGUCAGCUCGUGUCGUGAGAUGUUGGGUUAAGUCCCGCAACGAGCGCAACCCUUAUCUUCAGUUACCAGCAUUUGGUUGGGUACUCUGGAGAGACUGCCGUGGAUAACACGGAGGAAGGUGGGGAUGAUGUCAAAUCAUCAUGCCUCUUACGUCCAGGGCUUCACACGUGCUACAAUGGUCUUUACAAAGUGAAGCAAGACUGCAAAGUGGAGCGAACCACAAAAAAAGACCCCAGUUCGGAUUGUAGGCUGCAACUCGCCUGCAUGAAGUUGGAAUCGCUAGUAAUCGCGAAUCAGCAUGUCGCGGUGAAUACGUUCCCGGGCCUUGCACACACCGCCCGU